UGCUGGAGGUAUCAGAAGUGCGAAUGCUGACAUAAGUAACGAUAAAGCGGGUGAAAAGCCCGCUCGCCGGAAGACCAAGGGUUCCUGUCCAACGUUAAUCGGGGCAGGGUGAGUCGACCCCUAAGGCGAGGCCGAAAGGCGUAGUCGAUGGGAAACAGGUUAAUAUUCCUGUACUUGGUGUUACUGCGAAGGGGGGACGGAGAAGGCUAUGUUAGCCGGGCGACGGUUGUCCCGGUUUAAGCAUGUAGGCUGAUU
rnacentral:rRNA from 1 species